UGGCUCAGAUUGAACGCUGGCGGCAGGCCUAACACAUGCAAGUCGAGCGGUAGCACAGAGAGCUUGCUCUCGGGUGACGAGCGGCGGACGGGUGAGUAAUGUCUGGGAAACUGCCUGAUGGAGGGGGAUAACUACUGGAAACGGUAGCUAAUACCGCAUAACGUCGCAAGACCAAAGUGGGGGACCUUCGGGCCUCAUGCCAUCAGAUGUGCCCAGAUGGGAUUAGCUAGUAGGUGGGGUAACGGCUCACCUAGGCGACGAUCCCUAGCUGGUCUGAGAGGAUGACCAGCCACACUGGAACUGAGACACGGUCCAGACUCCUACGGGAGGCAGCAGUGGGGAAUAUUGCACAAUGGGCGCAAGCCUGAUGCAGCCAUGCCGCGUGUGUGAAGAAGGCCUUCGGGUUGUAAAGCACUUUCAGCGGGGAGGAAGGCGAUAAGGUUAAUAACCUUGUCGAUUGACGUUACCCGCAGAAGAAGCACCGGCUAACUCCGUGCCAGCAGCCGCGGUAAUACGGAGGGUGCAAGCGUUAAUCGGAAUUACUGGGCGUAAAGCGCACGCAGGCGGUCUGUCAAGUCGGAUGUGAAAUCCCCGGGCUUAACCUGGGAACUGCAUUCGAAACUGGCAGGCUAGAGUCUUGUAGAGGGGGGUAGAAUUCCAGGUGUAGCGGUGAAAUGCGUAGAGAUCUGGAGGAAUACCGGUGGCGAAGGCGGCCCCCUGGACAAAGACUGACGCUCAGGUGCGAAAGCGUGGGGAGCAAACAGGAUUAGAUACCCUGGUAGUCCACGCCGUAAACGAUGUCGAUUUGGAGGUUGUGCCCUUGAGGCGUGGCUUCCGGAGCUAACGCGUUAAAUCGACCGCCUGGGGAAUACGGCCGCAAGGUUAAAACUCAAAUGAAUUGACGGGGGCCCGCACAAGCGGUGGAGCAUGUGGUUUAAUUCGAUGCAACGCGAAGAACCUUACCUGGUCUUGACAUCCACAGAACUUUCCAGAGAUGGAUUGGUGCCUUCGGGAACUGUGAGACAGGUGCUGCAUGGCUGUCGUCAGCUCGUGUUGUGAAAUGUUGGGUUAAGUCCCGCAACGAGCGCAACCCUUAUCCUUUGUUGCCAGCGGUCCGGCCGGGAACUCAAAGGAGACUGCCAGUGAUAAACUGGAGGAAGGUGGGGAUGACGUCAAGUCAUCAUGGCCCUUACGACCAGGGCUACACACGUGCUACAAUGGCAUAUACAAAGAGAAGCGACCUCGCGAGAGCAAGCGGACCUCAUAAAGUAUGUCGUAGUCCGGAUUGGAGUCUGCAACUCGACUCCAUGAAGUCGGAAUCGCUAGUAAUCGUAGAUCAGAAUGCUACGGUGAAUACGUUCCCGGGCCUUGUACACACCGCCCGUCACACCAUGGGAGUGGGUUGCAAAAGAAGUAGGUAGCUUAACCUUCGGGAGGGCGCUUACCACUUUGUGAUUCAUGACUGGGGUGAAGUCGUAACAAGGU
rnacentral:rRNA from 1 species